rnacentral:misc_RNA from 1 species
AAAAAAAAAAAUCAGAUAGUUGCUAAAAAAUUAGAAAUGCCUCUCUUUCAUAAAAAAAUAUACGAAAUUCAAAAAUGAAACAAGCCUCUCAUGUCUCUCACCUCUCACAAUGAAACAAAAAGGUCCCUUGGAGAAGAUAUAGCUUUAAGAACAAGGGAUUUGCAUUUGAUUCGAUAAGAAUCGCGUUUAACAAAAGAGAAUAAUUCAAAGUAGGUCAUAGUGAAGCACAAUAACACUCAUGAUUGGCUUGGUAGGAAGCAAAGAGCAUUGAAGGUGUCUUUUAAAUUCUGGUUUUUUUAGCAUUUAUGCGUAUAAAAUUUUAUUUACAUAAAAAAUUAAAAUUUACGAGUAUAUUUUUAAAGUUCAAUAUAAAUUUGAAGUUUA